GGGGUUGGUACCAAAGCCCAACGCAUUUCAAUGACCAAAAAGCCACCCAAAGUCGCUCGCGAUCCUCCCCAGACUUUGCCCAGCCGUGAAACACACUGCAAGGGCUCCCACCCAGGAUACGGAUACACCGUAAGGCACAGAGCAACGCAGCCCUUCUGCCUGUCGGUGCGCACACACUGCCUGCAGCCGGCUGUGCACCUUGGAUCCGGGCACAGAAAUCCCUCCUGUGCACACGGCUGAGCGCACAGAGGUGUGUGCAGCCCGCCGGGCAGCGCAUGGAAGCUGUUUCCAAGCGGCGAUCACCCAGGGUGCAAACAGCUCCGACACCAGCUGUGCUGAGCAGAGGUUUACGGCUGGCUUUGCAGCAGAGCGAGGCACAGAAGACGAACGCAGCCCCGUGCUGCUAAGACUUGGAAAGGAGACAGAAAGGCCUUCAACCUUCACGAUCCCACAUACGGCACUGCGGGGCGAGCUCAGCAAAACACAGUGCCUGCCCUGAGUCGUGGUAAACAUUCACUUACCGAGAGUGCCUCACACAUUUCCAAAAUACCCCCUUUCCUACAUGUGUUCCCUAUGGGAGAAAGAACAAAAAAGCAGACUGAGGAGCUCCCAGAGCAGCCCGAAUGAUUGCAGCUUUGGUGAUAUUAGGGGAGAGUUCCCAGUGCUCCCCCAUUUCGCUCUGGGUUUGCUGUGCCCGCUUAAAAAUAAAUAUUCAAAAAGUAAAAAAAAAACAAAUAAUAAUAAUAAUAAUAAUAAUACAAAUAAUUGAAAACAGACACGUAAUGAAGGGUAAUUCCAGGGGAAAAAAUACUUGUGUGCAGAACAAGAAAAAAAAAAGGUAUUUCUGUAAGGCAUCUCCCACUUUCCAGUUCUGCUGCAGUUCCCCUGAACUGCUGCUGCUCGCUGCAAUCUGCUGCCUGCUUAACCACGGAAUGACAGGCAACAUCUGUUUGUAUAGAAGCCAAAAUCAAAAUCAAGCCUGCACUAUUUUUUUGGCUCCGUUUCUUUCUUUUUU
rnacentral:lncRNA from 1 species